rnacentral:misc_RNA from 1 species
CCAGUAUCUAUAGAAUUUCAAAUGAUUAUUGGAUUUCAAAUGAAAAGCACUUCAGUCACCUCCCUAUAAUCUCGAUUGGUCAUCGUUAUGGCACAUUUUUUAGGCUAUUAGUUCAACACUCAACAAAUAUAAACUUAAGUACAUAUGGCACAAAUUAUUUACACUCGUUGACUUAAUAAUACGUACAAACCAUUAAAAUACCACCAAACAGGUAGUAACCAUAUAGCUUUACAAGCUGUCACAAUUUAUUUACAGACACAAUGA